rnacentral:lncRNA from 1 species
UCCUUUUCAAUACAGGCAACGGUCUUCGUCCAAGGCACGAUGAGGGUUUAUAUGGUAAUCAAAGCUCAGCUGUAGCUCCAUCAGUCAAUCAGACUGAAACUCAAACAUACUGCUCUCUACUCCACGCACAUGAGAGCACUUAUGAAUCCAUCAGAGGACGUGGAAACACUGAAGAAGGGAAUCCAGACUACGAGUACGACGAUAUCGCAAACCCAUAAAAGAGGAAGUCAGUAAAAAAGGUGAAAGUUCACUUAAGAUAUUAGCAAAAAUGUGCUGGUGCUGUCCAGGGAAUGUGUCUGUAGCUGGGUUUCCAUAACUCUCGGAAAUGCGCAAAAUGAAAAUAGCGCAUUAAGAAUUAAUAGCGGAAAACACUCAAAUAUUGCAAAAAUAUUUACAUUUUCAUGAGGAGGAAUUUCAGAUGUUUCGAUAUUUAAAUGUAUCGCAAAUGCGCCAUGGCAACACUUAGCAUUAUACCUUAGAAUAUUAGACAACAAUGGAAUGCACAGUGUUAUAAGGAGGUUUUUAGCGUUCAUCUUCCUGUAGCAAAGUCCUGUGAGAUGAGAUUUCACAGGAGUUACG